rnacentral:snoRNA from 1 species
AAACCAUGAUGAGGACACUCUAAGAGAAGAUCCUUAAAACGUUCCAUACACCUAGAAAAUGAUUCAUUGGGUUUUUUUUUUGGAACUGGAGAAUGUCGUUCCUAAGUUU